rfam:Schistosoma margrebowiei strain Zambia genome assembly, scaffold: SMRZ_scaffold0001439
GAAACGGACUUUUUAAAGUCCAUCUUCAGUUUACAUAUUUAUCAU